GGCGAUCCAAACCUUCUUGUGCAUCUUGCCACGGAUGUGGCAGAGUCGUUUGGUUCCGUCGAUGCACAUGGCUUCGCAUCUACCGUUACCGAGCAUGCGGAGAACCUGAGCGUAUUCUUGACCGUCUUCUUUGAAAACGAGUUCUCUCUUCUCGUCAUCGGCUUCGUUCUUUCCUCUCUUUCUGUUCUUUCCUCCCUUUCCCUUGUUCUUCGGCAUGGUUUGGGUUUGAGUUUUUCUCUCUCUCGCUCUGUCAAACCCUAAUUUCGAUUGCGGUGUUGGGAAUGAGAGGAUGAUGCCUCUAUCUCUCUUUUUGUUUUGUUGGGUUGGAUUCUGAGGCGGCGUGUGCGUGUGGAACAGUGGAUGCUGAAUGGACGAUUUUACCCCUAAAUGUGCUUUUAUUUUUUACUUUUCAGAAUAAUAUUAAAAAUAUAAUAUGGUAAAGGUUUAUGGACAGUCAUUCACCAUUUAUAUAUUACUUUAUUAUUUUUUGAAUAGUUAAUAAUGAUAAAACAUAAAUAAAUAAUUAAAUAAUAAUAUAUAAAACUCGUACAUUCUUAUUCAUAUAUAAAUUUUUUCUUUUAUAUAAAUACUAGUGUGUACAGAUACUUCAUGUUUGCUGGCGAAUAUUGUGUGACACUACGUAUUCAAUUUUUAUAUAUUUCACUUCUUCGAAUUAAAAUGUAUUUUUGUGUUCGGUAUACUUUAUAUUAUAUUUUUUGUGUUUACGAUAAUAUAUAAUUUAAGGUGAGAUAUGUGGUUAAUUAAUGUAUUGGUGGUAGUUGCUUAAGAUUAUAUAGUUUUUUUGUAAAAAUUAAAUAAUGUUAAGGACAAUAUAGGAAAUGAAAAUUACACCAUGAGGAAAGUUAUUUUAAGUUUUGGCUUGAUAUAGUACAGAUGAAGUAUAUUUUAAGGAUAAGGAUAAAAUAGUAAGUUAGUGAAAAGAUUUGAGUUAUAAAAAACACGGAUAGAAAUUAAAUCUAUAAGGAUAAAUAUAUAACACUAUUUGUCUAAUAAAUAUUAUUGUCAAAGAUAAUACAAAACCUUUAACUUGAUCUAAAGUAUAUGAGUAACCUACCAUUAACAUGUAAUAUUGAACUAAAAAACUUCUUUUAAUGUUGCAAGUGUUACAAUUACACGAAGAGAAAAAGAUAUGUAAUGUAAAAGUUUUUUAUAUUGUCACUUUAUUAUUCACUAUUCAUUUUUAAUUAUGUUUGACUUUUCAUAAAAAGUAAUCCAAAUGAAGAAGAGUGGAUGAUACACUAAUUAUGUAUAAUUCUUUACACCAUCAAUAUUACACUCAUACACUACAAGAAAAUAAACUUACAAGAUGAUAAAUUUUAAUAAAUAUUUGUACUAUUGAAUGGAUAAAUUAGUAAUGGAAGUAUUAUUUAUUAACCGCUAGUGUGUUGACAAGUACAAUAAUCCAUAUUCUUAUUGUUUGAGAUUGAAUAUACUAUCUUUAUAUGUCAAAUAUUUUACAAAUCAAAUAUUGUUAUAUAGAAGAUAUGUGUAGUAAAAUAUUACAUUUUGUUUGCAACAAAUCCUAGCAAUCAAACUAUGAAAAGAUGAUACUAUUACACCAUAAAGUUGCAAACAAAUUCUAACCAUUACAAACAUCCCAAUUUCUGGAAAAAUAUUGACAGAUUAGUAAAACAAAUGAAUCUUUAAGGAAAGAUAAAAGAUCAAUUUCAAUUGUAGGUUCAUAUGAUACAUCAAUAAUGAUCAACAAACUAUAAAAGUCUGAAAUAUGAGAAAGAAAGAAACCCUAUAAAGGAUUGGUGAAUGAUGGAUGAUAGUACAUCUUCUCAAAGCAAGUGUGUAGGCACAUAGUUAGGAAGACAUCAUGGAAUAUCCAUAGAGUAUAGCCAAAUUGAUGGAACAUUGAAACUAUAAUGUAAAACAAUUGAAUAGUAGUAUUGAAAUUACACUGUUUCAUGUGCAACUUCGAAACCACCCAUUGAUGUAUAUGAUAUAGGAAAGUGCAAAAAAAAAUUGGUAUAACGAAAUAUAUUUUUCAACCUUAUAGUUAAUAAACUAAUCUUUUUUUAAAAUGUUUGUUUGUCUCUCCUUAUAAAUAUCGUUCAUAUGAAUUAAACUUUUGACCUUUUGGUAUAUCUAUCGGUAAAAAAGAGCAAAAAUGAAAUAUAAAAAAUAUACAUAUUUAAUUAUCUAAUUGUUUUUGUUUUUCAAUUAUAUAUUAGUAUAAAUAUUUAAGAUGAAAUUUCUAAGAAGUGAGAUAAAAUUAAUAAUGUGCAAAAAUAGAUAAUGUAGUUUCCAAUCAUUACCAAUGGGUGAAUGAGAGGAGACACCAUCCAAAAAGAGACUCUGGUGCAUAAUAUUCAGACAAUCAGAUGGAGAAUGCAAUUUUCACACUAGACAACCUUUCUCAAAGGUUUGGAAAGCUAGAAAAAUACUAUGCUAAUGCUAUUGGAUCUAUUGCAACAUUUGAGGGGUGUGGAGCAAAAGGUCACGAGUGGUCUGAAUGCAAACACUUCAUUGAACCUGAACAUGAAACAUUGAUCAAUGAACAACCUGAAUCGUGCAACUACUAUGACUACAAGGAGAGAAGCGGGCAACAGUUCAACCCACCAUACAGGGAGAGCAAUCCCAACCUUUUCUGGAGGAGUAACAACACUUUAAAUUAUCAAUAUCAAGAUGAGCAAGGUAAUAGGAAACCUCGAACACGGUUUCCACAGGUACAAUCUUCUAUUGAUCCCACUCUUAUAACAAUAAUGGAAGGUUAGAAAAAAUUACUUGUCAAUCUUAAUAAAUUUCAAGAGGAUCAAAUCACGAUUAAUAAAAAUGUUGUAAAUAUGUUAAAUGAUUUGAAUUCUAAGAUAUAAAAUCAGACCAUCAAUGGAAAAAUGUCAGAAAUACAAAUUGCGUGCAUCUUGCCACGGAUGUGGCAGAGUCGUUUGGUUCCGUCGAUGCACAUGGCUUCGCAUCUACCGUUACCGAGCAUGCGGAGAACCUGAGCGUAUUCUUGACCGUCUUCUUUGAAAACGAGUUCUCUCUUCUCGUCAUCGGCUUCGUUCUUUCCUCUCUUUCUGUUCUUUCCUCCCUUUCCCUUGUUCUUCGGCAUGGUUUGGGUUUGAGUUUUUCUCUCUCUCGCUCUGUCAAACCCUAAUUUCGAUUGCGG
rnacentral:lncRNA from 1 species